AGCGGUAAGGCCCUUCGGGGUACACGAGCGGCGAACGGGUGAGUAACACGUGAGCAACCUGCCCCUGACUCCGGGAUAAGCGGUGGAAACGCCGUCUAAUACCGGAUACGACCCGCCACCUCAUGGUGGAGGGUGGAAAGUUUUUCGGUCAGGGAUGGGCUCGCGGCCUAUCAGCUUGUUGGUGGGGUAACGGCCUACCAAGGCGAUUACGGGUAGCCGGCCUGAGAGGGCGACCGGCCACACUGGGACUGAGACACGGCCCAGACUCCUGCGGGAGGCAGCAGUGGGGAAUAUUGCGCAAUGGGCGAAAGCCUGACGCAGCGACGCCGCGUGGGGGAUGACGGCCUUCGGGUUGUAAACCUCUUUUACCACCAACGCAGGCUCCCAGUUCUCUGGGGGUUGACGGUAGGUGGGGAAUAAGGACCGGCUAACUACGUGCCAGCAGCCGCGGUAAUACGUAGGGUCCGAGCGUUGUCCGGAAUUAUUGGGCGUAAAGAGCUCGUAGGCGGCGUGUCGCGUCUGCUGUGAAAGACCGGGGCUUAACUCCGGUUCUGCAGUGGAUACGGGCAUGCUAGAGGUAGGUAGGGGAGACUGGAAUUCCUGGUGUAGCGGUGAAAUGCGCAGAUAUCAGGAGGAACACCGGUGGCGAAGGCGGGUCUCUGGGCCUUACCUGACGCUGAGGAGCGAAAGCAUGGGGAGCGAACAGGAUUAGAUACCCUGGUAGUCCAUGCCGUAAACGUUGGGCGCUAGGUGUGGGGACUUUCCACGGUUUCCGCGCCGUAGCUAACGC
rnacentral:rRNA from 1 species